UAAUCCCCCAAGCCUUAGAGAGAAAGCUGUCACUCCCAUGUGCCAUAAUGUCACUAAUCAAUCAUUCUAAGGUCUGAGAGAGUGAGGUGCUGCUGGCUGUUUAAUAAAGAGGAACUCUGGAACUCAUUUAUACCAGUGAUUAAUUCUGCCCCUGUGGUGUAGACGACAGUCUGAAUCUAUAGUAGAUGUCUUGAGCCUUCUGACAUUGUCAAACAAAUAUCUUGAAGGAAAAAAAAAACAGGACCCAAUUUUCAUUUCACAGUGAACUGUCACUUUAAGAGGCAACAUUGAACACGGGGAGUCAACGUCAUCGGAAGAAAGAGCAGGCAUUCAGCUGUAUGUGAUUACGUUCAUAUAAAAUAUCAGUUUAUCAAAAGCGAACAGUCAUUAACACCAGCUGCUACCCAGUAGUAUCUCGUUCAGGUUUGUCUGGUCAUACGGUGUUACCGGUGCAGUGGAAUGGAAGGGUUAGCUGAUCUGAGGAUUGUCCUAUUGGGCAAUACGGGAGCUGGAAGGAGCAGCACAGCCAAUAGCAUUCUGGGAGAGAAGCUGUUCAAGACCUCUUGCUCUGGCAACUCCCAAACAGUAGAAUGUGAGGCUAAAACAAAAACUGUUGGUGGGAGGAGCAUCACUGUGAUUGACACACCAGGGUUUCUUGAUAAUAAGAACCCGGCUGACACACUGAACCCCAAAAUAGUGGAGUGCAUCAGAGAAUGUUCCGCCAGACCUCACACCUUUGUUAUGGUGUUGAAAACUUGCAAGCAAACAGCAGAGGAGUUACGAGUGAUGAAGAGGUUUGAGGACUACUUUGGAGAGGAGGCUUUGAAGUAUGCUGUUGUCCUUUUUACCCACGGAGACCAGCUCGACGACCACACGACCAUCGAGCAGUUUGUGAAUAAAAAUGAACGCCUGAAAACACUUGUCCAGAAGUGUGGAAACCGGUUUCAUGUCAUCGAUAACAAAUACUGGAACAAUCCCACUGAAGGCCACGGUGAAGAGAGAAGCAACGCUGCUCAAAUCAAGAAGCUGCUGAACACGAUUGAUCAGAUGAUGAAGCAGAACAGAGGACAGGACUACACCAAAGAGAUGCUCAGAGUUGUGGAAAAGGCUCAGUCCACGGGUCAAGCAAAACCAGUGCAGAAUGUGAUGAAAAUGUUUUUGAAAACAGGAGUAGGGGUUCUGUUAUUUCUUACUGCAUGGUACGCACAUACAACUAUUUCUCAUGAUACAUGUCGGGCCAUAGCAAAGGGAGCUCUGUUAAUGGCAAUAUUUGGUGCUGGGGCAUAUGUAACUAUACCCAUUUUAUUCCCUGUAAAGCCGAAGGAAAAAGGCAACUAAACCCAAUACUGAUGAUGUGUAAGUCACAGGAAAAGAAGCAGAGACAGAAUACUAACAAUUUAUUGACCAGUGGUAGUAUUUGGGUUUAUUAGAAAGAAGAAUACAAUUUUAUUUUUUUUAAAUUUCAUUUACCAAAUUACUUUCUCUAAUGUCAUUUAAAGAUUGUCUACUUCAUCAUAACUGAAGGGAACCUGCAGGAAUAUUGUCCGAUUUUUAAAAUCCUACAGGAAUUACUCUGUCACAUUAAUAGUUAAGAUGCCUUUAUAGAUCCCUUUAGGAGUAUGCAUUGUAUUUAGGGAAUGACAUUUCAACUUAACAAAGCAAGUUCCUACAGAAUUUUGAAAAAUCCUACACAAUCUGCAGUGUUUGUUGGUCAUAUUAGACAGUUACCACAGCACUGGUUCCUAGCUAGUUUACUUGCAGUAAAUGUUAACCUGCUUACUUCUUAAUCCCAACUAUCUUUCUGGCUGCCUUUUCAUACGUUUCAGUGGCUAGCACUAUGUGCAUACUUUUCCCACCUUGACUCAGACAACCCCUUGACCCCUUAGAAACUGCCUUGUUAACUGCCUUUCUGGCCUACUCUCCAUCCUCAUCCUCCUUGACCUCAGCACGGCUUCUGGUAACAUCUCUCACUCCCUCCUCCAUCAAAGACUAUCUUCAAUUGAAUAAACUGGAACUGCUCACCUUUGGUUCAAUUCAUGCCUCUGAAACAGACAGCUGUUUAUCUCACUCAAAAACCACCACUCUACCCAUGUUCCUGUUGCACAUGGUGUCCCCCAGGGGUCAGUAGUGGGUCCACUCUUGUUCAUCGUUGACCCUUUUCCCCUCAGUUGCAUUCUGACACAUGGAAUAGGGCAGUAUGGUUCUAGAUAAAAUGACUAUCACAAUUUUCUUGCUUAGAAUUGAGAUCACGAUUCUUUGGGACACUGACAUUUUUAAAUAAGAAUAGUCUUUUGAUGCAGACAGAAAUAUAACAGAAAUUAUGAUAGCGACUAUGUGUGUGCACACGUUUGAGACAAAGAGUGAGAGAGAGAGAUAGGUUUGGCUUUUAAAAUUUCAAAUAACAUAAUAUAGACUUAAUAUUGCACAUUGAACAUGGGGAAUUGGUCAUGUAAUACAGUGUUUUUCAACCCUGGUCCUGGGGACCCACUGCCCUGCAUGUUUUAGAUGUUUCCCUGCUCCAACACACCUGAUUCAAAUGAAUGGGCCAUCAUCAAGCUCUGCAGUAGCCUGAUAACGACCCAUUCAUUUGAAUCAGGUGUGUUGGAGCAGGGAGACAUCUCAUGUAGGACAGUGGGUCCCCAGGACCAGGGUUGAAAAACACUGGUGUAAUACAGUUUUUUGUGCAUUUUAUCUACAUAAUUUAUAAUUGUGGAAACGUGUGCUCUUUGUUUUGAGCAUUCAAACUGAGAAUAUUCAUGGCACAUAUUUGUAAUGUGCAGAACUUGUCAUUUAAAUGAUCUUGAAGUGCAGGUUGGCCUUUAUUGUAGGUUGUGCUGAAAGCUAACGUGGUGUUAACAGAGUGGUGUAUCGUUUUCGAUUAAGUGCACUUUUUUUUUCUAGAUUUAAUUUAUUGUUCAAUCUCCCUAACAUGGUGUAAAGAAGGACACUGUUUACUUGCCAAUUUUUCACAUUGUUAGCACACUGGUUAAUCAAGAAAAAUGAGUGAAAACACCAAUGAUCAGUUUCAAGGGAAGUUUUACAGCCUGUCCAUUUUGAGCUCACCAGUUGUUACUGUGCAGUUAUAUCCAUUUUAUAAAAUCAUAUAUCUGGUCGAUUGUUCUUAUUGGUCAAUUUGCAUUCCAGUCGUGACAAUAAUAAUAAAGGCAUGGGUAAAUAGAA